GAUGGAGCAGGCAUGCGGCUGGAGCAGCGGGAUCCCAGCACAGGGAUGGGAUCUCGUGUCCUUGCAUCGCCCCCGAGCCCGUGACUCCUCCUGUGCCCACCCCGGGGGAAGACGGGGCUGGAGCCGCGGGACGCAGCGUUUUCCAGGGACUUUGGAUCGGGAGCAGAGCAGGGAAGGACGAGCUGUGGCUCUGCCAGCUCCCCACAGCCCCCCCUCUGCUCCCACCCCCCCAGCCGAACUCGGGGGCAGAUCCCUCCGGGAUCUGGAAUCAACACGAGCCCAUUGGGUGUCCCAAAUCCCUCCCCAGCGCCAGGAACUGCAGGUGAAGGAUCCCUGGAACCCCAGGAAUGGCAGGUGAAGGAUCCCUGGAACCCCAGGAAUGGAAGAUGAAGGAUCCCUGGAACCCCAGGAAUGGCAGGUGAAGGAUCCCUGGAACCCCAGGAAUGGAAGGUGAAGGACCCCUGGAACCCCAGAAAUGGCAGGUGAAGGAUCCCUGGAACCCCAGGAAUGGAAGGUGAAGGAUCCCUGGAACCCCAGGAAUGGAAGGUGAAGGAUCCCUGGAGCCCCAGGAACUGCAGGCGAUGCUGCUGCCAACCCCAAAAAAAGGAGGUUCCUUGCGGCGGGUGAGGGGGUAAAGCCUUAUCAGGUGGAGAUGGAGAACCCACAGCUCACCCCAAACCAGUUCGACCGGUCCGGGCGAUGGGAGGGGAUAAAAAAACACACAAAAACACCCUCCCGAACAAAAGGACAGAUCGCAGCUCGCCUGGCACCACCAGCCCCUAUCCCAGGACAGGGCACAUCCCAGGAAGGACAACACCUACAGAUCCCCCAGGGGGGCCGGGGCACACACCUGAGACAACAGACCCUGCAGGAGUGACAUGGACCCCCUGCCAUGGGGCAGGACCCCACAUCCUAUGGGUCAGGACCCCCCAUCCUAUGGGUCAGGACCCCCCAUCCCAUGGGUCAGGACCCCCCAUCCCAUGGGUCAAGACCCCCUCCCACGGGUCUUGAUCCUCUCCCGGAUCAACAGGACCCCCUCCCACGGGUCGCCGUGGGUCAGGACCCC